rnacentral:lncRNA from 1 species
ACUUUGACACUCAUUUAAAGAUGACAGGGAACAAUAGAGAUUUGUUCUGUGCAACCCUUUCUUGUUAUGCCGGCGACAUCAGCUCCGCACAUGAAACUGCCCGAUAUUUCAUUCCACCUGCCACCUCCCUCCCGCCUCGGUCGACUCUCUCCUCUGCUACUUUGCUUGUCCCCACUUUAACACAAAGAGACAGAGACAAGAGAUUCGACUGUGUUAGCCAGGAUGGUCUCGAUCUCCUGACUUCGUGAUCUGCCCGCCUCAGCCUCCCAAAGUGCUGGGAUUACAGGCUUGAGCCACUGUGCCUGGCUUCAGGCUGGGAUUUUUAUAGCUUAUUAUGGCAAGGGAGGAGACGGAGAGUAAAAGAAGAAGGAAGAGCAUACACAGUCACCCCUUGUGUGACAAAUAUGCAAGAAAUAAAGAUAAAUGUGUACAAUUCUUACAAUUUUACUUUUCUGAAUUUUGCUAUUGCACUGAAUGAUUUGUGAUAAGACAGAUGGGGAUGAAAAAUAUACUUAUUAAAUAAACAGCUAUUAAAAGCCCCUAAAACUCUUUAAAAUGGGAUCUUUUUGUUUGAUU